UCCUUAGUAGCUCAGUAGUAGAGUUGUCGAUUGUUAACUGAUUGGUCGUAGAUUUGAAUCCUGCUUCGAGAG
rnacentral:tRNA from 1 species